GGCGGGAUAACUCAGCUGGCUAGAGUAACCGGUUCAUACCCGGUCUGUCGAGGGUUCAAAUCCCCCUCCCGCUACCA
rnacentral:tRNA from 1 species